GACGAACGCUGGCGGCGUGCCUAAUACAUGCAAGUUGAGCGCUGAAGGUUGGUACUUGUACCAACUGGAUGAGCAGCGAACGGGUGAGUAACGCGUGGGGAAUCUGCCUUUGAGCGGGGGACAACAUUUGGAAACGAAUGCUAAUACCGCAUAAAAACUUUAAACACAAGUUUUAAGUUUGAAAGAUGCAAUUGCAUCACUCAAAGAUGAUCCCGCGUUGUAUUAGCUAGUUGGUGAGGUAAAGGCUCACCAAGGCGAUGAUACAUAGCCGACCUGAGAGGGUGAUCGGCCACAUUGGGACUGAGACACGGCCCAAACUCCUACGGGAGGCAGCAGUAGGGAAUCUUCGGCAAUGGACGAAAGUCUGACCGAGCAACGCCGCGUGAGUGAAGAAGGUUUUCGGAUCGUAAAACUCUGUUGGUAGAGAAGAAUGUUGGUGAGAGUGGAAAGCUCAUCAAGUGACGGUAACUACCCAGAAAGGGACGGCUAACUACGUG
rnacentral:rRNA from 1 species